rnacentral:lncRNA from 1 species
CGAUUUUGCAAACGCAGCAGAAGAACCGGCUGUUCCAAAAGCACUGUGAGACUGCUGAGAAAGCUUCGGCUCCUCUUUCUUUCCAGGGGUUAUGGCAAAUCCACCAAAACCAAAGCCUCUCUUUGUACCAGGUCCUCCUUUAUUCCAAUUCAUGAUGCCUUCAACAGAUCGCGCGGGCAGCGCAGCCGCCGACCGCCGCUUCCCCGGUUACCGGGGCGGGGGGGUGGAGAC